GUGGGGAAUAUUGCACAAUGGGCGCAAGCCUGAUGCAGCGACGCCGCGUGAGGGAUGGAGGCCUUCGGGUUGUAAACCUCUUUUGUUUGGGAGCAAGCCUUCGGGUGAGUGUACCUUUCGAAUAAGCGCCGGCUAACUACGUGCCAGCAGCCGCGGUAAUACGUAGGGCGCAAGCGUUAUCCGGAUUUAUUGGGCGUAAAGGGCUCGUAGGCGGCUCGUCGCGUCCGGUGUGAAAGUCCAUCGCUUAACGGUGGAUCUGCGCCGGGUACGGGCGGGCUGGAGUGCGGUAGGGGAGACUGGAAUUCCCGGUGUAACGGUGGAAUGUGUAGAUAUCGGGAAGAACACCGAUGGCGAAGGCAGGUCUCUGGGCCGUCACUGACGCUGAGGAGCGAAAGCGUGGGGAGCGAACAGGAUUAGAAACCCCAGUAGUCC
rnacentral:rRNA from 1 species